UACGUAGGGGGCAAGCGUUGUCCGGAAUCAUUGGGCGUAAAGAGCGUGUAGGCGGCCCGGUAAGUCCGUUGUGAAAGUCCAGGGCUCAACCCUGGGAUGCCGGUCGAUACUGCCGGACUAGAGUUCGGAAGAGGCGAGUGGAAUUCCCGGUGUAGCGGUGAAAUGCGCAGAUAUCGGGAGGAACACCUAUGGCGAAGGCAGCUCGCUGGGACGUUACUGACGCUGGAGACGCGAAAGCGUGGGGAGCAAACAGG
rnacentral:rRNA from 1 species